GCAAACUUGGUCAUUUAGAGGAAGUAAAAGUCGUAACAAGGUUUCCGUAGGUGAACCUGCGGAAGGAUCAUUACCGAGUUAGGGUCUUCCAGGCCCGAUCUCCCAACCCUCUGUCAAACUUACCACUUGUUGCUUCGGCGGGUCCGUCCUGACGGACCGCCGGAGGGCCGUCAAACGUCCUCUGGCCCGCGCCCGCCGACAGCCCCCCUUUAUCAAACUUCUGAAUAAAUCUUGUUUUUACUCUGAGUUUAUCUUUAAAAUACAAGCAAAAACUUUCAACAACGGAUCUCUUGGUUCUGGCAUCGAUGAAGAACGCAGC
rnacentral:misc_RNA from 1 species